rnacentral:lncRNA from 1 species
GCUUCCCACCCAGGAUUGUGACAGACUGGGUGUGGUGACCCAUGAGACUCUGGGCCAGAAUUCCAAGAUCUGGAACCGCUGUGUUGGGUAUAGGGGGGUGGACACUGCAACCAGGGCGACCUGGGUUGAGUCCAAACUGCCCACUUCUGACAGCCUGGGGGGCUCGGGCCUGCCAUUUGCCCUCUCUGAGCCUCAGUUCCCGCAUCCAUAUGAGGGGAAGGAACAACACCCCUAUGAAACAUCAUUUACGAGGAGUAGAGCGAGUUCUGUUUUGGUCUGGGAACUGCAUGGAGCCCUGUGAGAUGGUUGGAGACACCCCGUGAGUUUUGAAACCAGAUGGGCCAAACACUGGCCCAGAUGCUCAUGUGUUUUUAAGGAAGCAUUUGGCUUUAGGAAAGAGAAGGCAGCUGCUCUUAAUCCCGAGAGCCCCUUAAAGAAUCAUCAGAGCUUCAGGGCAGUAAAGAAAGUGGGGGCAGGAGGCGGCCUCUUUGCCUCCCUCCUUCGGACCCACAGUGAAGGGAAGCUGGUGCUCGUGGACCACCGGCGGGCUGCAGGACUUCCACCGACCGUGUCAUUGAGUCCUUCCAGUGACACCUGCGUGUGGAAACCGGCCUUGCUCUCUCUGCUUUGCAGGUGAGAAAACGCAGGUCGGAGGAUGAUCAGCCAGGGUCGCCCCGCUGGGGGGCCAGGAUUCCCCCCUGCUCUGAGUCCACAGCUCUUGGCACAACCCCAGGCUGCGGCGCAGGAGAUAAGGCACCGGAGCAGCAUAUUGCAGCUCAUCCUGUGGGAUAGGAAGGAAAGACUCCAGACAUAAUUAGAAGUGUUUCGGAGCGAGUGGAAAGUUCUCAGGAAAUGUAUUAUCAUUAGAGCUGGCCUCUUGCCUCCUGGAGAGAGAGUGCAUGUGCGCUGAUGGUGCAUACGUUUACCUCCCAACUUCCUAUAUGAAAUCUUUCUCAGCAAAAAUAAAGCAAAAAUUCUGGG